rnacentral:rRNA from 1 species
GACGAACGCUGGCGGCGUGCUUAACACAUGCAAGUCGAACGGAAAGGCCUGCUUUCCCUUGUGGAUUGCGGGUACUCGAGUGGCGAACGGGUGAGUAACACGUGAGUGAUCUGCCCCCAACUUGGGUAUAAGCCUGGGAAACUGGGUCUAAUUCCCGAUAGGACUGCAGGGUGGUGCCUGUGGUGGAAAACGAUUUUCUAGUGGUUGGGGAUGAGCUCGCGGCCUAUCAGCUUGUUGGUGGGGUAAUGGCCUACCAAGGCGGCGACGGGUAGCCGGCCUGAGAGGGUGGACGGACACAUUGGGACUGAGAUACGGCCCAGACUCCUACGGGAGGCAGCAGUGGGGAAUAUUGCACAAUGGGCGGAAGCCUGAUGCAGCGACGCCGCGGGGGGGAUGACGGCCUUCGGGUUGUAAACUCCUUUCGACCGCGAGGAAGCCACCUGGUUGGAAGGGUGGUGACGGUAGUGGUAGAAGAAGCACCGGCUAACUACGUG